UCAUUGUCUCCAGAGACUGUCGAAGCUCUCAUUUGCACCCAAAAUUGGUUAAGGACCAAACCUGUCGACAUCCAGGAGUUGGAAGAAUACAUAGAGUUGAUGGACCUUGAAGAUGAUUAUCUAGCUUUAGCUUCACAGCAGGCUGUUGUGAAUCAGCCUUUCCAAUCAUGUUGAAGAAAAACUAGACCCAUUUGUACUUUGUCUUUCUGUUUGAUGGGAGCGCUAUUUGGGACAACUUAUUCCAAGAACCUUUACUGUUAUGUUGGCUGAUUACUCAACUCAGUAACAGGAGCACAUGCAAUGAGAAACAUCUGAUAAUUUCUGAUUAUUUUGGAAUUGGCUGCUUGCUCAAAAUUGCCAUAAUCCACUACAGAGCUCUCUUCUUAUUGCUAGCUUGU